UACGUAGGGCGCAAGCGUUUAUCCGGAAUUAUUGGGCGUAAAGAGCUCGUAGGCGGACUGUCACGUCUGCUGUGAAAAGCUGGGGCUUAACCCUGGCCUUGCAGUGGAUACGGGCAGACUAGAGGUAGGUAGGGGAGAAUGGAAUUCCCGGUGUAGCGGUGAAAUGCGCAGAUAUCGGGAGGAACACCGGUGGCGAAGGCGGCUCACUGGCC
rnacentral:rRNA from 1 species